GAAAGUUACUAAGGGCGCACGGGGGAUGCCUAAAGGCUCUCAGAGGCGAGGAAGGACGUGAUAAGCUGCGAAAAGCGUCGGGGAGGUGCAAAUAACCAAAGAUCCGGCGAUAUCCGAAUGGGGGAACCCAUCCCGAUGAAGUCGGGAUAUUCUGCGGUGAGCAGAAGGCGAACGCGGGGAACUGAAACAUCUAAGUACCCGCAGGAAGAGAAAACAAUAGUGAUUCCCUGAGUAGUGGCGAGCGAAAGGGGAGUAGCCCAAACCAAUAAUGUUAAGGCAUUAUUGGGGUAGAAGGACUGCCAAAAAAGCCUGAAGAUUGAUAUUUGAACACAACUGGAAAGUUGGGCCAGAGAGGGUGAUAGCCCCGUAAGAGAAAUUGAUUGAAGGCGAGGCAGGAUCCUGAGUAGCGCGGGACCGGAGGAAUCCUGCGUGAAACAGCCGGCACCAUCCGGUAAGGCUAAAUACUCCUGAGAGACCGAUAGCGAAGAAGUACCGUGAGGGAAAGGUGAAAAGAACCCCGGACAGGGGAGUGAAAAAGAACCUGAAACCGUGCGCUUACAAGCGGUCGGAGCCCUGAGCUUGUCGAAGGGUGACGGCGUGCCUUUUGCAUAAUGAGCCUACGAGUUACGCCUCUCUGGCGAGGUUAACCACAAAAGGAGGUGGGGAGCCGAAGCGAAAGCGAGUCUGAAAAGGGCGAUAAGUCAGAGGGGGUAGACGCGAAACUUUGUGAUCUACCCAUGGCCAGGCUGAAGCCUCGGUAAUACGAGGUGGAGGGCCGAACCGGUAAACGUUGAAAAGUUUUCGGAUGAGCUGUGGGUAGGGGUGAAAGGCUAAUCAAACUGAGAGAUAGCUCGUACUCCCCGAAAUGUCUUUAGGGACAGCCUGGGGUGAUAGUGUCUUAGAGGUAGAGCUACUGAUUGGAUGCGGGGGUUUCACCGCCUACCAAAUCCUGACAAACUCCGAAUGCUAAGACAUGAUACCCUGGAGUGAGGCUAUGGGUGCUAAGGUCCAUGGCCGAGAGGGCAAGAACCCGGAUCACCGGCUAAGGUCCCCAAAUGUAUGUUAAGUUGGUAAAACGAGGUCUGACUGCAUUGACAGCUAGGAUGUUGGCUUGGAAGCAGCCAUUCAUUUAAAGAGUGCGUAACAGCUCACUAGUCGAGCGGUUGGGCGUGGAUAAUAAGCGGGCAUAAAACAUACUACCGAAGCUGUGGAUUUAUACUAUAGAGGUAUAAGUGGUAGGGGAGCAUUCCAGGAUUGCGGAAGGAUAUACGCGAGUAUAUCUGGAGAGACUGGAAAAGCAAAUGUAGGCAUAAGUAACGAUAAUGCAGGUGUAAACCCUGCACACCGGAAGACUAAGGUUUCCUGAUCAACGUCAAUCGGAUCAGGGUUAGUCGGGGCCUAAGGCGUACCCGAAAGGGGGAGCUAAUGGACAACAGGUUAAUAAUCCUGUACUUGCUAUAAGUGCGAAGCGGGGACGUUUAACUGAGGCACUUACGAACUGACGGAAUAGUUCGUAGAGCAUAGCCUACGGGCGAAGCGAAAGUGAUAAGGGAGAACCGAGAAAAGCCGUGGAAGCGUCAGCUUAUAGCAACCCGUACCGCAAACCGACACAGGUAGUCGAGGAGAGUAUCCAAAGGUGCUCGAGUGAAUCAUGGCUAAGGAACUAGGCAAACUGACCCCGUAACUUCGGGAGAAGGGGUCCCUAAGCAGGCAAGUUUAGGGCGCAGAGAAAUGGCCCAGGCGACUGUUUAACAAAAACACAUGGCUUUGCGAAAUUGAAAGAUGAAGUAUAAGGCCUGACACCUGCCCGGUGCCGGAAGGUUAAGGGGAGAGGUUAGUGGCGUAAGCUGCGAAGCUUUGAACCGAAGCCCCGGUAAACGGCGGCCGUAACUAUAACGGUCCUAAGGUAGCGAAAUUCCUUGUCGGGUAAGUUCCGACC
rnacentral:rRNA from 1 species